GGCUUUGUUGCCAAGGUACACAAUUCAAUCACUUUUCACUUCAAUCCUCGUUGAUCACAUAAGCGUUGGAGUGCUAACAUGUUUUGUAGGUACCUUCCCCACCGUGAUUCACCGUAAAUAUAAUGCAACCGUAGCUUCCUUAAGCCUCACCAUUGGAGUUAUCUCAUUCUGAUUCGGUCAGAACACUGUAUUAGGAGGAAGCCAAAGUUGUGUCAUUUCAUAUUGGAUGGAGUUUGUUCCAAUGAAUCGUCUUCUCCAGCAAACUUUAAUUUGGUCAUCUCUUCUUAGACUCUUCACAUUUUCAGUCUUUUGUUUGAUAAUCAGCAUCUACUUUGUCAGUUCCUUUGUCUUUUCUGUGUCGGUGUUACAGGAGAGAUAACCUCUAAAUCUGUGGUUUGCUGUGGAACCCGUGGCAGGCAGGUUCACACAUACGUACCGUGAAACUGAUCAUUUUUUUUACUUACAUGUGUAUACUUAUUUUGAGAUUUGGGAUAUCAUUGGGUUUUUCGUGUAUCUGUAUUAGGAAAGUAAGUAUGAAGCAUUUAAGAUUCUAGGGUACAUAUAUCUUUACCCUCCCAAGGAUGCGUAAUUCUGGAC
rnacentral:lncRNA from 1 species